rnacentral:rRNA from 1 species
GAUCAACGCUGGCGGCGUGCUUAACACAUGCAAGUCGAACGAAGUUUUUCCUUCGGGCGACACUUAGUGGCGGACGGGUGAGUAACGCGUGGGUAACCUGCCCUGUACAGGGGGACAACAGCUGGAAACGGCUGCUAAUACCGCAUAAGCCCUUAGCACUGCAUGGUGCAUAGGGAAAAGGAGCAAUCCGGUACAGGAUGGACCCGCGUCUGAUUAGCCAGUUGGCAGGGUAACGGCCUACCAAAGCGACGAUCAGUAGCCGAUCUGAGAGGAUGUACGGCCACAUUGGGACUGAGACACGGCCCAGACUCCUACGGGAGGCAGCAGUGGGGAAUAUUGCACAAUGGAGGAAACUCUGAUGCAGCGACGCCGCGUGAGUGAAGAAGUAUUUCGGUAUGUAAAGCUCUAUCAGCAGGGAAGAAAAUGACGGUACCUGACUAAGAAGCACCGGCUAAAUACGUG